rnacentral:ncRNA from 1 species
AAAAGCCGUGUGCAAUGAAAAAUGCAAGCACGGUUUGGGGAGGGGUUUUUUCCUUAUUUUAU